rnacentral:rRNA from 1 species
CGUGUAGGCGGAUUGGAAAGUCGGAUGUGAAAUCCCCGGGCUCAACCUGGGAAUUGCAUUUGAAACUUCCAGCCUUGAGUAGUGGAGAGGGAAGCGGAAUUCCUGGUGUAGAAGUGAAAUUCGUAGAUAUCAGGAGGAACACCGGUGGCGAAGGCGGCUUCCUGGACACUGACUGACGCUGAGACGCGAAAGCGUGGGGAGCAAACAG